rnacentral:rRNA from 1 species
GAUGAACGCUGGCGGCGUGCCUAAUACAUGCAAGUCGAGCGAACGGACGAGAAGCUUGCUUCUCUGAUGUUAGCGGCGGACGGGUGAGUAACACGUGGAUAACCUACCUAUAAGACUGGGAUAACUUCGGGAAACCGGAGCUAAUACCGGAUGAUAUUUUGAACCGCAUGGUUCAAAAGUGAAAGACGGUCUUGCUGUCACUUAUAGAUGGAUCCGCGCUGCAUUAGCUAGUUGGUAAGGUAACGGCUUACCAAGGCAACGAUGCAUAGCCGACCUGAGAGGGGGAUCGCCCCCACUGGAAGUGGAACACCGUCCCGACUCCUGAGGGAGGGCCCAGUGGGGGAUGUUCCGCAAUGGGGGGAAACCCGGCAGAGGGAACGCGCGUGGGAGGAGGAAGGGUUUCGGGCGGAAAAACCUUUUUUUGGGGGAAAAAAGAUUUUGAAAGUAACGUGGCACGUUUGAAGGGACCCAAUAAAGAAGCCCCGGCUAACUACGUG